rnacentral:rRNA from 1 species
UACGUAGGGUGCAAGCGUUAUCCGGAUUUAUUGGGCGUAAAGAGCGUGUAGGCGGUUUGGUAGGUCCGCUGUGAAAACUCGAGGCUCAACCUCGAGACGCCGGUGGAAACCAUCAGACUAGAGUCCGGAAGAGGAGAGUGGAAUUCCUGGUGUAGCGGUGAAAUGCGCAGAUAUCAGGAAGAACACCCGUGGCUAAGGCGGCUCUCUAGUACGGUACUGACGCUGAGACGCGAAAGCGUGGGGAGCGAACAGG